CUUGCAGGGAGCCUGAUGUGGGACUCCAUCCCAGGACUCCAGGAUCACGACUUGAGCCAAAGGACUUCCAAUUUACAAAGAAAUGUGAAUUCUCAGCCUAAAAUCAGACUUAAAACCUAGAUAUAUUUGCAUCUUUUACAUCUUCCAAAGGAUUUCUUCUAGUUAUGAAGAAAGAUCGCUUCUGUCACUACAGAUAGUGUUCCAGCUGCAUUAGGUCAAAAAUCUGGAUUGGAAUUUAAUGAGUUUGGAUUCCCUUUGUUGUUUUGUUUCACUUUAUGAUGCAUAUUGAAAAUAGUUGCACUUAAUUUCCUGAAACAAACUGAAAAGUGUCAUAAUUGCUAAAAUUAAGGAUAGUUCGAAAGCAAGGAACCCUCACCAGCUUGUGGAGACUAUUCAGAAGGACAGAAGGCAAUUUAAUGGUCUUAUCUUUACUAAUACUCAUUGGUUGAAUUAUGAAGAAACUUUAACAAUGGUUUACAGUUCUUUUAAUAGCGAUUUAAGAUUAUUUUGCAACAAAAAUGCUUGCAAAAUAUGCAGUAAUUAAAAGCAAAUCAUGUCAGUAUGAUACACAUUUUCUUAGUAGUAUCAAGCUGCAAAUGAGUGAACCAAAAUUGAAGCUCCAAGAAGAAAGGGUAUUUGUGAUCUUCACAGACAGGGACAAGAAUUCAUGUUGAACUUCACAACACAAAGUUGUGUGAACACCAAGAGUGCUGCUUCUAACAUUUUAAGUGUCAUCACAUUUUGCAAAUUGGCUGCUAAAACUGCAAGUAAAACCUGAAGAAUACUUUGUUGGUAUCUUGAAAUUGACAAACUGAUCUUAAAAUUCAUGGAAAUCCAAGGAACUCCAAAGAGCCAAAGAAUAUUGAGAAAGAACAAAGUUGGAAGACUCAAACUUCCUCAGUUCAAAAUGUAUUACAAAGCUUCAAAAAUCAAGAA